GGCCUAGCCGGCGGCGGACGUGUCGGAAAUAAAGCGGGUUGGGCGUGGUGAUGCUUCCACUACGAAGCGAUUAUGAACGGCUUGCCCUUUAAACGGUUGGGGAAGCCGUAUACGUAGGACGUGAGUGAGCGGUGAAGAGGUUGGUGAAUAUCGCGAGCAUGUUUUAAGGAGGAAAUACGUGCGUCGACGACACCUCCGAACCAGCAUGACGGGAACUCGUCGCAGCAGAAAAUCGCAACUACGGCAACGUCUAAUGGUGAUGGUUCGCCAUCAUUUUACGCUCGUGAGUAACUGAGUGUACCAGGUGACCGGACUUCUCGACGUGGAACGCAAGACCUGAAAAUUAUGUUGCCCAAGAUAGCCGUGGUUGUCCGGGAUUAAAGAACACACAAAAAGCAAGCCCCUGACUCAUGCAGAAGAGUUGCUUGCAAACUACUAACAAGAAAAUAAUAUUUUCAACACGAUGCAACUUUUUUUUGUUAUUCUUGAAAAAUAUUUUUAACACUUGUACAUGUAAAUUAAGUUCAACAAUAAAGGAAAUUAGUAAAUUA